GAUGAACGCUGGCGGCGUGCCUAAUACAUGCAAGUCGAGCGAACGGACCAGAAGCUUGCUUCUCUGAUGUUAGCGGCGGACGGGUGAGUAACACGUGGAUAACCUACCUAUAAGACUGGGAUAACUUCGGGAAACCGGAGCUAAUACCGGAUGAUAUUUUGAACCGCAUGGUUCAAAAGUGAAAGACGGUCUUGCUGUCACUUAUAGAUGGAUCCGCGCUGCAUUAGCUAGUUGGUAAGGUAACGGCUUACCAAGGCAACGAUGCAUAGCCGACCUGAGAGGGUGAUCGGCCACACUGGAACUGGAACGCGGUCCAGACUCCUACGGGAGGCAGCAGUAGGGAAUCUUCCGCAAUGGGCGAAAGCCUGACGGAGCAACGCCGCGUGAGUGAUGAAGGUCUUCGGAUCGUAAAACUCUGUUAUUAGGGAAGAACAUAUGUGUAAGUAACUGUGCACAUCUUGACGGUACCUAAUCAGAAAGCCACGGCUAACUACGUG
rnacentral:rRNA from 1 species